rnacentral:rRNA from 1 species
CCUACGGGGCGCAGCAGUGAGGAAUAUUGGUCAAUGGACGAGAGUCUGAACCAGCCAAGUAGCGUGAAGGAUGACUGCCCUAUGGGUUGUAAACUUCUUUUAUAUGGGAAUAAAAUGUUCCACGUGUGGGAUUUUGUAUGUACCAUAUGAAUAAGGAUCGGCUAACUCCGUGCCAGCAGCCGCGGUAAUACGGAGGAUCCGAGCGUUAUCCGGAUUUAUUGGGUUUAAAGGGAGCGUAGGUGGAUUGUUAAGUCAGUUGUGAAAGUUUGCGGCUCAACCGUAAAAUUGCAGUUGAAACUGGCAGUCUGGAGUACAGUAGAGGUGGGCGGAAUUCGUGGUGUAGCGGUGAAAUGCUUAGAUAUCACGAAGAACUCCGAUUGCGAAGGCAGCUCACUGGACUGCAACUGACACUGAGGCUCGAAAGUGUGGGUAUCAAACAGGAUUAGAUACCCCUGUAGUC